GGAAGGAUCAUUAACAAAACAAUCCAACACUCGUGUUUGGCGAGAAGAGGGAGAGGAGAGGGGAUGGAUGGGUGAUGAGCCCGUCCCUAACCUAGCCUAGCCUAGCCCUUUUCUCGUCAGUAACAACACAUCUAUAUUUACAUUCAGACAACACAUGGAAAGCGGGAAGGACCGUAUGCUGUGUAUGUAUAUAUGUAUGUAUGUAUAUAUAUAUGUAUAUAUAUAUGUGUGCGUGCCGACCUGCGACCGAGAAUCAUCCGCGAGGAUGGAUCAAUGUCAAGUUUUAAACAACUUUUAACAAUGGAUCUCUCGGCUCUUGCAACGAUGAAGAACGCAGCGAACUGCGAAACGUGAUGUGAACUGCACUCUUCGUGAAUCAUCCAAUCUUUGAACGCACUUUGCACCGUGUGGCUUUUGUCACACGGUAUACUUGUUUGAGUAUCUAGAAGCACCUCACUUUCCCCUUGGGGCCAAGUGGACUUGAGAGUUCGUGACGAGGGAGGCGGGGGUGGUGAUGAGUAUGUGUGUAUGUAUGUGUAUAUAUAUGUGCGGCUCGUUGUCAUCGUCGUCUGUCUAGUCAGUCAGUCUCUUUAAAUGAGGAAAUGUGGUGCGAGGGAGGGUUGGUGGCUGCAAGCGGCGCAUCAGCAGCUAGCAGUCGGCCAGUCAGCCAGCCGUGAACGCGCGCACACGGACCAUUGGGAUAACAUCCUGACGAUCGUCUGUGUGUGUGUGUGGUACGCGUGCAGUGCAAUGCAAUGCAAUGCAUACGGCGUCACUCGCACAACACACAUUUAGGACACACAGGGGACUAUGCGAUCUUGCUUGCUUGCUUGAAAUUCAUCCAUUCGUUAUUGUGUGGAUGGAUGGAGAGCGGGCCGGCAGGAUGGAUAAAGUCGUCUCCACAUACCGUCGCAUCGCAUCGCAUCGCGUCGCAGAUGUCAUGCUAUGCAUGGUGUCAUGCUAUGCGAUGCAGGGCGGUGUUAUGUAUGUAUAUAGAUCUCAAAUCAAGUAAGGAUACCCGCCGAACUUAAGCAUAUCAGUAAGCGGAGGAAAAGAAACUAACAAGGAUUCCCCGAGUAACGGCGAGCGAAACGGGAUGAGCUCAAAUUUGAAAUCUGACACGCCGCUGGGGUGUCCGAAUUGUCAUUGAGAGGGUCUUCUUUUGACGCCAGGCCGUGGCCAAAGUUCUCUGGAAAGGGACAACAAAGAGGGUGACAUUCCCGUCUGGGUCACGACCCGGUGUCAGACAGAAGGAGGCUCCAAGAGUCGGAUUGUUUGGGAAUGCAGUCCAAAAUGGGUGGUACAUGUCAUCUAAAGCUAAAUAUAGGCAAGAGACCGAUAGCGAACAAGUACCGUGAGGGAAAGAUGAAAAGAACUUUGAAAAGAGAGUUAAACAGUACGUGAAAUUGUUAAAAGGGAAACGAUUGAGACCAGUGAUGUGGCCAGGUCUGGAGCAUGCCUUUCGGGGCGUGUGUUUGGCCUGGCCGCGAGUCGACGCUCCUUCCGGGCCCUGGACAAGACGACGUGGAAAGGUGGCUCCAUCCCUCGGGCUGGUUGCUUUAUAGUCCCGUCGGCAUACAGGGCAGAUAGAGAUGGGAUAACGCGGGAGGAGAAGGCGCGAGGGCGGUUGCCUUUAUCGGCGCCGCUCCUUUUGUCGACGAAAUGGUCUUAAACGACCCGUCUUGAAACACGGACCAAGGAGUCUAACAGCUAUGCGAGUAUUUGAGUGGCAAACUCGAGUGCGCAAAGAAACUGAACACUGCAUGGGACUCGUGUGUGUCACAACACGCGACGCACCAUGGACCGGUCCUCGUCUCCGACUUGGAUUGCGUCAGAGCAUAUCUGUUGGACCCGAAAGAUGGUGAACUAUGCCUGAAUAGGGUGAAGCCAGGGGAAACUCUGGUGGAGGCUCGUAGACAUUCUGACGUGCAAAUCGAUGUUCAAAUUUGGGUAUAGGGGCGAAAGACUAAUCGAACCAUCUAGUAGCUGGUUCCCUC
rnacentral:misc_RNA from 1 species